rnacentral:rRNA from 1 species
CGUGUAGGCGGCCUGAUAAGUCUGAAGUGAAAGUCCUGCUUUCAAGGUGGGAAUUGCUUUGGAGACUGUCGGGCUUGAGUGCGGAAGAGGUAAGUGGAAUUCCCAGUGUAGCGGUGAAAUGCGUAGAGAUUGGGAGGAACACCAGUGGCGAAGGCGACUUACUGGGCCGUAACUGACGCUGAGGCGCGAAAGCGUGGGGAGCGAACA